rnacentral:tRNA from 1 species
GGGGUUGUGGCUCAGUGGUAGAGCGCUUGCCUAGCAAGUGUGAGGCCCUGGGUUCAAUUCUCAGUACCA